AAGUCGUAACAAGGUUUCCGUAGGUGAACCUGCGGAAGGAUCAUUAUUGAAAUAAACCUGAUGGGUUGUUGCUGGCUCUCUAGAGAGCAUGUGCACGCCUUGUCAUCUUUAUAUUUCCACCUGUGCACUUUUUGUAGACCCUUUCAGGUCUAUGUUGCUUCAUUUACCCCAAUGUAUGUUAACAGAAUGUUGUGACUAUAUAAUAUAUACAACUUUCAGCAACGGAUCUCUUGGCUCUC
rnacentral:misc_RNA from 1 species